rnacentral:rRNA from 1 species
UACGUAGGGAGCAAGCGUUGUUCGGAAUUACUGGGCGUAAAGCGCGCGCAGGCGGUUCUUUAAGUCAGGGGUGAAAGCCCAGAGCUCAACUCUGGAAUUGCCUUUGAAACUAGAGAACUUGGGUACGGGAGAGGUGAGUGGAAUUCCGAGUGUAGAGGUGAAAUUCGUAGAUAUUCGGAAGAACACCAGUGGCGAAGGCGGCUCACUGGCCCGUUACCGACGCUCAGGCGCGACAGCGUGGGGAGCAAACAGG